CGGUGACAGGUGGUGCAUGGUUGUCGUCAGGCUCGUGUCGUGAGAUGUUGGGUUAAGUCCCGCAACGAGCGCAACCCCUAUUGUUAGUUGCCAUCAUUCAGUUGGGCACUCUAGCGAGACUGCCGGUAAUAAACCGGAGGAAGGUGGGAUGACGUCAAAUCAUCAUGCCCCUUAUGACCUGGGCUACACACGUGCUACAAUGGCUGGUACAACGAGUUGCGAGUCGGUGACGGCGAGCUAAUCUCUUAAAGCCAAUCUCAGUUCGGAUUGUAGGCUGCAACUCGCCUACAUGAAGUCGGAAUCGCUAGUAAUCGCGGAUCAGCACGCCGCGGUGAAUACGUUCCCGGGCCUU
rnacentral:rRNA from 1 species